GAGAGGGAGAAGGACAAGGCAGGAGGGAGGGAGGGAGAGGGUGAGAGAGCUACAGAAGGAGAGAGGGAGAGAUUGUGUGCUGGCAGAUGAACUCUGAGAAGAGAGGGCCUGUAUCAAAGGAAAACGACAUCAUCUAGCCUGGGGUGAGUGAUUUUGGCCUCUGGAGCCUGUAUUCCUGGCCAUCCUGUGAGUUGCUGCCACUGCUAAGAGGCUCGUUACAGUGAAGACUCUC